ACUGCUGCUCCCAGCAACAGGAUGGAGGAACAGCUUCAGGGUUGGUUCCGUAGCGCCUUAGAAGAGUAAGCUGCUGCAGGACGAAAAAGAGCAGAUAAGCGCACCAGUCCAAUCUUUUGAAGUGCUGCAAGGCAAGAAAGUGUAGACAGGUGGGAGGAAAAUUCAGAGAAAAGACACCCUGGAAAAAGCCACUACAUUUCUCCAAAUCUACAGAUGCAUUUGGAAAGGAUGAAAAUGCUGAAUAUAGCUUUCAUGGAUAAAGGACAAGGAAGGACACAUGCGUACUUGUAGAAUGCGUGCUGGGGAAUGGCCUACAAAGCAGGCCACAAAAGGAUGCUGAGAGCAAUAGCAUAAAAUUAAGAAAAAGGGAAAGCUGUAGGCUGGAAAGAAUUGAAAUUGUCCUGGUGAGAGAUCUUUAACAAGGUGCAGGUAAUUUCCUCAAGGGAAGUGAUAGACUCUCCGUUGCUGGGAUUGUUUAAAAAGUAAACUGGAUGAAGCAGUAAGAAAUAUGCUCUAAGGAGUAAUCUGUCAACUUGAUGGAUUAAUGACCUAAUUGGUCCUUUGGUUUCCUUCCACCUCUCAUGCUUACUGUUCUGUGAACAGCAGCUUCUUUUAUUAGGAAGAAGACUAGGGCAAAGAAGUGUAAUCUUAGUGGAAAUGUUCACUUCAAGUGAUGUGAUCUUCCUCCAGACCUCUUAGUGACAAAAACCUUUGGUGCUUUAGAAGAUAAAGUAGCUGUGGGGCUUAAAAGAUCCAAAACUGAAACUUGCUUUCUGCUUUCCUUAUAAUACCUGGAGGUGUUUUUGUCUCUGACAGGCAAGACACUCUUCUGACGCCUGACCCAAAGCAAGCUAUUCCCGUAAAGCUCUGCUCUGUGGUCAUUCCUACAUUUAUUGUCUGGAUGUGCCUAUCUACUCUUCCUGCACGCUUUCAUGUUUUUUUUUUGGAAGCACAGAUUCUGAUAUGGACUGUUCUGACACCAGAUCUUAUGGCUUCGGGCUGUCUGAACAGGCAAAACAGAUAACCUUUGUGAUCAUCCUGCUCCCAUUCUCCUGUAUUUUCCACCUGAGUUUCUGGAGAUGCUUCAUUUCGCAAAUGCCCAACCUAGGAACAGAAGGCAUGAUCAGGGGAAAGAUGAAGGGCAUGAUGACUGUCUUUUGGUAUUCUUGGUAUUCUUCAUGCAUGGAAAAUGCACUUUGUUCAUUUGAAGAAACUUCAAGAUGCUCAAGAAACCAGAACCAGUCCUGCAGUGAAAGUACAUCAGGGUGGUUGGAGCUAACCAUAGCAAGAAAGAAAUACAGCUGAGUCUUCUUGAAGGGCAUCCUUUUUUCUUACUGUUUGUCUUGACUAUUUGCCUUUCUCUUUCUCUUCUUUCUGUACCAUUUUGAAUAUAUGGAUCAUUGCCACAUGUUCUGUGCUGUUAUACCCAAAAUCUCAAGUGCUGAGAAAACUGUCUUGCUGUAGUUUUCUUGUCAUCUUUUUCCCUUUGUACAUCUGCUGGUAAAGCAGCCUGGCAAUAGAUGAAACUUUAAAUACAUUAGACAUGCAUUUGCAUUUGAAGGAGAAAAUAAAAUAUGCAUGAUUUGUCCUAAUUCAGACUUGGAGACUGGUUCCAGAUUGCCCUCCUGCAAUUGAAAUUUGACUUUUUAAAACUGGCUCAAUCACUUCAGUUUUAUUCAGGUUUAAAUCAAGGGGUUCCCAGGGCAGUUCAGCACCAGCUGUUUCAUUUGAUGGAGGUGAUCUCCAGAUUUCAUGAUUUCUUU
ensembl:lncRNA